AUCUAGGGCCAUACCAUCCUGAAUGCAGCUGCUCUUGUCUGAUAUCCAAAGCUAAGAAGGCUCAGGCCUGGUUAGUACUUUUUCGGUGUGGUGGUACAAGGCUAUAAUCCCAGUGCUUGGGAGG
rnacentral:rRNA from 1 species